rnacentral:rRNA from 1 species
AGAGUUUGAUCCUGGCUCAGAUUGAACGCUGGCGGCAUGCUUUACACAUGCAAGUCGAACGGCAGCAUAGGUGCUUGCACCUGAUGGCGAGUGGCGGACGGGUGAGUAAUGCAUCGGGACGUGUCCGGAAGAGGGGGAUAACUGUUCGAAAGAACAGCUAAUACCGCAUAAUAUCCGAGGAAGAAAGCUGGGGACCUUAGGGCCUGGCGCUUACGGGGCGACCGAUGUCUGAUUAGCUAGUUGGUGGGGUAAAAGCCUACCAAGGCGACGAUCAGUAGCUGGUCUGAGAGGACGACCAGCCACACUGGGACUGAGAAACGGCCCAGACUCCUACGGGAGGCAGCAGUGGGGAAUUUUGGACAAUGGGGGCAACCCUGAUCCAGCAAUGCCGCGUGUCUGAAGAAGGCCUUCGGGUUGUAAAGGACUUUUGUUGGGGAGCAAGGUGCACAGGUUAAGAGCUAGUGUACUUGAGAGUACCCAAAGAAUAAGGACCGGCUAACUACGUGCCAGCAGCCGCGGUAAUACGUAGGGUCCAAGCGUUAAUCGGAAUUACUGGGCGUAAAGGGUGCGCAGGCGGCUUUGUAAGCUUGAUGUGAAAUCCCCGGGCUCAACCUGGGAACUGCAUUGAGGACUGCAAGGCUAGAGUGUAGCAGAGGGGGGUAGAAUUCCACGUGUAGCAGUGAAAUGCGUAGAGAUGUGGAGGAAUACCGAUGGCGAAGGCAGCCCCCUGGGUUAACACUGACGCUCAUGCACGAAAGCGUGGGGAGCAAACAGGAUUAGAUACCCUGGUAGUCC